UGGUUAUCGUGAUGUUUAAGGUCGUAAUUGAGUGGUUACUCUUCUUCAUACGAGUAUUAAUAUUUCUGUUGGUUUCGGUCAAUCUCCCGGUGAAGCUAAAUUAUUAUUGCCUGGAGUUGUGGAUUGAGAUUUAUUUCCACCCUUGCGUUUCUGGAGACUGUUCAGCUAUGAAGCAGGUGUUCAUUCCUGGGCUUGUACACUCCACCUGCAUAUUAAUUUAACCCUGCUUAAGUAAUUGGGAAAGUUACAUUAGUAACAAGUCUUCUAUUCCUUCAAAGAAAAAGCUGCCAUUAAGUUGUUUACAACCACCCGUUAUGCUGAUUAAUCUUCGCCAUGGUUAAGCUUUUCUUCCCUUCCUCUCGUCACAUGGGUUCCUUGUCGUUUCUCUUGUGGAAAUGGAGGCGGCCAUUCCUACAACCGGCGUCUGGGCGAGUUGGCCAGGAACAUAGGGACUCGCUGCUGGCCUGGCCGGGGCCUUUCUUACUAGAAGGAAAGCUGCGGUGGUUGUUUGGAGAAGAUAGGAUAGUUCAGGUUUUCGGCACCAAGGGAACGUCGUUUGACGUGUAACAUUACAAUAUCUUUGAUGCUUCUAGGUAUGGACAUUCGAAAAUUCUUACUGCCGGCAAGGUGAUCCCAGGGAUGAGUUAGGGCGAAAUGGUGAAACGUGGAGUGGCGGCCUCAUAGCGCAUUGAUGAACGACUGGUCUACAAAUCAUUUCUGGUCUUUGAUAUGGUUGUAAAAUUGCCGUGUGAAUGUUUUCCAUGCACAUUGAUCUGUCUUAUUUCGACGGCUGGCCCGGCAGUUUGUUGAAGACGCCCAAUAUAGGCGCCUUAGCAGCGAAUGUGAUGAUAAAAGUUGGGUGAAUUGGUUUCAUUAGGGUUUAACUACCAAAUACUACUGUUCCUAUCAUAGAUUAUACUACUACUAGAUCAUGGUAUUUACGAGGCUAAACGGAAACUCGUGUUGGUAAUAGUCCUCUGACGUUCUUUUGUCCGGAAAUUAGCAGUUCGACAGUUGUAGAAGAUUUCCUAGGAAUGCUUGAGUUAUGUUGAGGAUUAUGAAAAAAAGAAAAUUUCCGUACACAAGUGUAGAACUAAUUCUUUGAAACAUUUGCAGGAAAAGUUGCCGAAACCAUUUUCUCGUCCCGCCAUUUUGAGGAAAAGAUGGCCGAACUCUUGCCAUCAUCCAAUAGAAUUUGAGAAGAACAACAGGCUGGGUAAAGGGAAAGCAAUUGGAGUCGCUCAUUUCAGUGGCCAAUUUGUUUGAAAAGGUGCAGUAGCAACUUGCUUCUGCUCUGUGCACAGAACUGUCAUGUCUUUUAUCGGAAUUCUGGAAAUGGAUUACUGAUCUAAGGCUAACAAGUUAUUCGACUACAUGGUGGAUAAUAUGCAGGUGCCCUGAACUGCAAGGAAAGUGAAUAUACUGCUAUAAGUUAAAACAAGGUUUAACGUGGAAGAGAUAUGUAGGUGUUGCUGUUGCAGUGACCAAACGGGUGGUGUUUAACAAAAGGAUAUGGAAGUUACACAUAAGCCACAAGGAAAUUUAAGUGAAGGGUUUCAAGUUACAAUGCUAUUCAGCCUCGGUUUCUUUUCUUUUAUGUUCUUAUUUUUUUUUUAAGAACAUUAGCCUAAUUAACGUUGCAGACUUAACAGCCAUGAAGAUGACAGAAUUCUAGUAAACCUGUUGGACUGAAGGUGGCUGGUGAAGAAAAAAGGGCAAUCGAUGACAUUGGUGAAAUACGAAGAUGUGAUAGUAAACACGGUAGCUAAUUUUAUUUGGGUCAAAAUAAUUUUAGAAGAAAUUUCCGGUUAGAUUGCAGUGAAAAUGAGCUCUCGGCGUUGUACCGUGCGACGUGGUGAUAACGAGCUCAUACCAGGUCUUGUAUUUGGAACCUGCGGAUUGGAUGAUUGUUCUGGGAAUUUGCAUCUGCUAUACGUAUACGACUACUCGGGUCGUGGAUGAUAGUAGGUGGAGUGGAACUGAGGAGUUGUUUAAUGUUGUUGGACAAAAUGGAAUUGUGACACGAAAACGGGAAAGAUGAUAAACCGCAGCUUUAUCAUUAUAUUGGACGAAUCGGAGAAAAAAAAAUUUGGUUGUCAAUUCUUCAAAUGAAACUAUAUCGAAUGUUAUUCCAACAUGUAUUGACCUAGAAGCAAUUGAUGCAGGUUAAUCUUAGUUAACAGUAGACAAGACUGUUUAACUAA